UCUUUUGUUUGUCUGUUUUAUACCUACAGGUAGCACUAGGAAAAUAUACUGCUUUUCAAAUUGCAUUCGUAUUGUGGGGGUACCUGAUCAUGCAUCUGGUGCAAGUUAUAUUUGGACUGUUUCUCAUGUAUACUGUCAUCUUGCCUGUGGUUCAUGGUCAGUGGAAUGAACUUCUUAGCAGAUGGGGAACUACAAUACUUACAUUUGUUAUCAUCUUGAUUAUCAGGAAGCUGCAGUCUUUUGCAGCUGCUGCAUUCUUCCUUCAGCCAAAGGUUUCCCCAA
rnacentral:lncRNA from 1 species